AGUUCUGGCACCGGAUGCAAGAGAAGCUGGGCAGGAGGCCAAUGAGGUGAUGGUUGAGGUCCCACAAUUAUUGCUACGAAGCUUUCCUUUUUUUCCUGGUUUGUUUGGGAGCUGCAUGGUAGACCUGGAGUCUUCUCUGUGGGCACCAGGAGACGGGCACUGGGCCCACUGUGACCUUACAUGGAGAAGUGGGUACAGGCAGUGGAUUGAUGGUUUGCAUAUAUGAAGUACAAACCCUUGUCAAGAGGAAGCUGAGCCCUGACUAAACCAUAAAAUAACCUCACAUAACCCAUGCAUCACGUAACUGAGGAGGGAGAUUUUUUUUUUAUUUUAAAUUCAGACUAUCUUCUGACUAGAAAGCUGGAAUGGAAUAACCCCAGAUUUUACUUCUUAUGAAACGAUGAUUGCUUAACAAUGAUGUUUUCAUAUUCUUAACAUAACUGUGAACCAGUCAAACUUUAACCCCUCAUUUACUGAAUGGCACCAACUACAGACAUCGACACAUGGC